AGUUAACCUCUUUUAUAUAUGAUCAUGCAGUUGAUUGCUGUUAUUUUGGGUCAUCUUUGGACCUCUGAGCACCCAAAAAUGAGAACAAGAAUUGAACUACUACUGAAGCAGAAUAAACUCACCAAGAACAAUGUUAAGGAUAUACUUCAGGAAUAUCACGACAACAUUGGUGAUCUGGAUGGGCCAGAAGAGAAGGAUAGGGCGCAGACAAAGAUCCAAAAAUUCAUCUCAGCCUUUUGAGCCUUUUUGAUAAUUGUUGAUCAAUUUGUAGUUCAAGAAACAAUAUGUGCCUGCAUGUUUCAGUUACUGGAAAUAUGUUGAUUUGAUUGAUUUCUCAGCUCUUUGUACCCGAUAUGUAAUCAUUUUAGUUUAGAGCUGGAUCCGUUGUCAGUGCUUUCGAUUCAGCACUGAUACUUGUUAGACUUCUCUAUUAAGCAAAACGGAACUGCUACGUAGCUGGAAA